rnacentral:rRNA from 1 species
GAAUAUUGCACAAUGGGCGCAAGCCUGAUGCAGCAACGCCGCGUGAGGGAUGAAUGCCUUCGGGUUGUAAACCUCUUUUAGUAAGGAAGAAGCCGCAAGGUGACGGUACUUGCAGAAAAAGCACCGGCUAACUACGUGCCAGCAGCCGCGGUAAUACGUAGGGUGCAAGCGUUGUCCGGAAUUAUUGGGCGUAAAGAGCUCGUAGGCGGUUUGUCGCGUCUGCUGUGAAAUCCCGGGGCUCAACCCCGGGCCUGCAGUGGGUACGGGCAGACUAGAGUGCGGUAGGGGAGAUUGGAAUUCCUGGUGUAGCGGUGGAAUGCGCAGAUAUCAGGAGGAACACCGAUGGCGAAGGCAGAUCUCUGGGCCGUUACUGACGCUGAGGAGCGAAAGCAUGGGGAGCGAACAG